rnacentral:rRNA from 1 species
ACGGGGGGGGCCAGCGUUGUUCGGAAUUACUGGGCGUAAAGGGCGCGUAGGCGGCCUUCUAAGUCAGACGUGAAAUCCCUCGGCUCAACCGAGGAACUGCGUCUGAUACUGGAGGGCUUGAAUCCGGGAGAGGGAUGCGGAAUUCCAGGUGUAGCGGUGAAAUGCGUAGAUAUCUGGAGGAACACCGGUGGCGAAGGCGGCAUCCUGGACCGGUAUUGACGCUGAGGCGCGAAAGCCAGGGGAGCAAACGGGAUUAGAUACCCCGGUAGUCCUGGCCCUAAACGAUGAAUGCUUGGUGUGGCGGGUAUCGAUCCCUGCCGUGCCGGAGCUAACGCGUUAAGCAUUCCGCCUGGGGAGUACGGUCGCAAGGCUG